GCUCUGCACCAGCCCAGUGCAGAGCUGUAGACAGAAUGAUCCAGAGUAGAUGCAGGGCCGAAAUGCGCCCGUGAACCUUGAGGCCACGGCUCUCCUUGAGAGACUCAGCCUCAUUGACUGUGAAGCCACAGGCGUGUGAGCUGUCUACUUCACAGGGCUGUGUGUCCAUCGUGUCCACAGGACAUGCCUGACUGUUUUUGGCUUGCCAAUGAUGUCACUGGCUCGCGGUUGUAUAAAGACAGCUGGAGUUAUUCGGAGCCGCUUGCUUAAUCGUCAACAGGUGGUCAGUCUUCACUUCUGCCGAUACUGGACAUCUGUCCUCAAGUUCCAGAACCUCCCAAAGUCCUGCUCUCAGGCUCUUCAGUCAAAAUCUGUCUAGGUUGUCUCUAGUUUCUGACCAUUAUGAAUAAAGCUACAAUGAAAA